GUUAACAUACACCUUCAUCAUAACCAAAUCUGCCUCUCGGGGUUUCCGAGUGGUUUGAUUAUGUUGAAAACAUUGGACAUUAGAACAUUGUUCAAAUAACUGUCAUUUAUAGUGGAAAUUGGUAUGAUAUUUUGAGUGCCUGUCAGUAUUAACCCAUUAUUUUUUAUUGGUUCAUGAAACUAAAUGAAGUGGGAAUGGCGACACUAGGGGAAGUGGUAUAUCAAAGUGGAAUAUUAUGGUCAUAAAAUAUUUUCAUAUGAAGCUAAAGUUGGAGUGGCUAUGGAAUAAACGGUUACCGAUUUGAAUCAGAAAUCAGGAUUUCCCUCCUUAUUCAGAAGAGCAAGGAGUGUGGUGACACUGGAAGCCAUAAGAAAAUACAUCACAGAAUUUUAAAACUUAAGAAUUGACUACGUGAACAAGUUCUGCAGUAUAUAAGCUUGGUGGGUCACAGAAUUUGAGAACUUCGAAUC